UACAGAGGGUGCAAGCGUUGUUCGGAAUUACUGGGCGUAAAGCGCGUGUAGGCGGCUUAUUAAGUCGGACGUGAAAUCCCUUGGCUCAACCAAGGAACUGCGUCCGAUACUGCUAGGCUUGAGUGUCGGAGGGGGUGGCGGAAUUCCUGGUGUAGAGGUGAAAUUCGUAGAUAUCAGGAGGAACACCUGUGGCGAAGGCGGCCACCUGGAAGACAACUGACGCUGAGACGCGAAAGCGUGGGGAGCAAACAGG
rnacentral:rRNA from 1 species